rnacentral:rRNA from 1 species
GACGAACCGAGCGAACGUUGUUCGGAAUCACUGGGCUUAAAGGGCGCGUAGGCGGGCCAUCAAGUCAGGGGUGAAAGCCCCCGGCUCAACCGGGGAAGUGCCUCUGAUACUGGUGGUCUCGAGGGAGAUAGGGGCGUGCGGAACUUCCGGUGGAGCGGUGAAAUGCGUAGAUAUCGGAAGGAACACCGGUGGCGAAAGCGGCGCGCUGGAUCUCUUCUGACGCUGAGGCGCGAAAGCCAGGGGAGCAAACGGG